CUCACGACGAACGCUGGCGGCGUGGAUAAGGCAUGCAAGUCGAACGGGAUGGGGAUUCAAGCAAUUGUGUCCCCUGAGAGUGGCGAACGGGUGAGUAACACGUGGGUAACAUACCUCCGGGUGGGGGAUAACCCAGGGAAACCUGGGCUAAUACCGCAUACGGUCUAUCUGCUCAUGGCAGACUGAUCAAAGGUGGGGAUCCUUCCGGACCUGCCGCCGGGAGAUUGGCCCGCGGCCCAUUAGCUUGUUGGCGGGGUAACGGCCCACCAAGGCGACGAUGGGUAGCCGGCCUGAGAGGGUGUCCGGCCACCCUGGGAUUGAGAUACGGCCCAGACUCCUUCGGGAGGCAGCAGUCGAGAAUCUUCCCCAAUGGACUAAAGUCUGAGGGAGCGACGCCUCGUGAGGGAUGAAGGCCCUUUGGGUUGUAAACCUCUGUUAGGGGGAAAGAACAGCAGUGGAAGCAACAUGUCCAUUGCCUGACGUUACCCCCAGAGAAAGCUCCGGCCAACUCCGUGCCAGCAGCCGCGGUAAUACGGGGGGAGCAAGCGUUGUCCGGAGUCAUUGGGCGUAAAGGGCGUGUAGGCGGUUUGGCAAGUCGAAUGUGAAAUCCCACGGCUCAACCGUGGAACUGCGUUCGAAACUGCCUUACUUGAGUGCGGGAGAGGUGCGCGGAAUUCCUGGUGUAGCGGUGGAAUGCGUAGAUAUCAGGAAGAACACCGGUGGCGAAG
rnacentral:rRNA from 1 species